rnacentral:rRNA from 1 species
GACGAACGCUGGCGGCGUGCUUAACACAUGCAAGUCGAACGGAAAGGCCCUGCUUUUGUGGGGUGCUCGAGUGGCGAACGGGUGAGUAACACGUGAGUAACCUGCCCUUGACUUUGGGAUAACUUCAGGAAACUGGGGCUAAUACCGGAUAGGAGCUCCUGCUUCAUGGUGGGGGUUGGAAAGUUUCGGCGGUUGGGGAUGGACUCGCGGCUUAUCAGCUUGUUGGUGGGGUAGUGGCUUACCAAGGCUUUGACGGGUAGCCGGCCUGAGAGGGUGACCGGCCACUUUGGGACUGAGAUACGGCCCAGACUCCUACGGGAGGCAGCAGUGGGGAAUAUUGCACAAUGGGCGGAAGCCUGAUGCAGCAACGCCGCGUGCGGGAUGACGGCCUUCGGGUUGUAAACCGCUUUCGCCUGUGACGAAGCGUGAGUGACGGUAAUGGGUAAAGAAGCACCGGCUAACUACGUG